rnacentral:rRNA from 1 species
CAAGGUUUCCGUAGGUGAACCUGCGGAAGGAUCAUUAAUAUAAGAGGACACACGCUUUUUUAGAACACACACAAACAAGUAAGUCAACAACCAAAUAAAAACUUUCAACAACGGAUCUCUUGGUUCUCGCAUCGAUGAAGAACGCAGCGAAAUGCGAUACGUAAUACGACUUGCAGCCUUCGUGAAUCAUUGAAUCUUUGAACGCACAUUGCCCCGUAAGGGAUGCGUGGUUGAGCGUCGUUUCUCCCUCCGCAAGGGUGUUGGACGGACUGUGUCCGGCCCAAAAGCAGUACUAACGGAGACGCCUCGUUAGGACAGUGGACGUCGACCUCAGCCACGUAAGAUUACCCGCUGAACUUAAGCAUAUCAAUAAGCGGAGGAAAAGACAACCAACC